rnacentral:rRNA from 1 species
UCCUACGGGAGGCAGCAGUGGGGAAUAUUGCACAAUGGGCGCAAGCCUGAUGCAGCAACGCCGCGUGAGGGACGAAGGCCUUCGGGUUGUAAACCUCUUUUAGUAGGGAAGAAGCGACUGGGUUUUCCUGGGAGUGACGGUGCCUGCAGAAAAAGCACCGGCUAACUACGUGCCAGCAGCCGCGGUAAUACGUAGGGUGCAAGCGUUGUCCGGAAUUAUUGGGCGUAAAGAGCUCGUAGGCGGUUUGUCGCGUCUGCUGUGAAAACCCGAGGCUCAACCUCGGGCCUGCAGUGGGUACGGGCAGACUAGAGUGCGGUAGGGGAGAUUGGAAUUCCUGGUGUAGCGGUGGAAUGCGCAGAUAUCAGGAGGAACACCAAUGGCGAAGGCAGAUCUCUGGGCCGUAACUGACGCUGAGGAGCGAAAGCAUGGGGAGCGAACAGGAUUAGAUACCCUGGUAGUCCAUGCCGUAAACGUAGGGAACUAGAUGUGGGGACCAUUCCACGGUCUCCGUGUCGCGGCUAACGCAUUAAGUUCCCCGCCUGGGGAGUACGGCCGCAAGGCUAAAACCCAAAGGAAUUGACGGGGGCCCGCACAAGCGGCGGAGCAUGCGGAUUAAUUCGAUGCAACGCGAAGAACCUUACCAAGGCUUGACAUAUACCGGAAACGGCUGGAAACAGUCGCCCCGCAAGGUCGGUAUACAGGUGGUGCAUGGUUGUCGUCAGCUCGUGUCGUGAGAUGUUGGGUUAAGUCCCGCAACGAGCGCAACCCUCGUCCUAUGUUGCCAGCACGUAAUGGUGGGAACUCAUGGGAUACUGCCGGGGUCAACUCGGAGGAAGGUGGGGAUGACGUCAAAUCAUCAUGCCCCUUAUGUCUUGGGCUUCACGCAUGCUACAAUGGCCGGUACAAAGGGCUGCGAUACCGCAAGGUGGAGCGAAUCCCAAAAAGCCGGUCUCAGUUCGGAUUGAGGUCUGCAACUCGACCUCAUGAAGUCGGAGUCGCUAGUAAUCGCAGAUCAGCAACGCUGCGGUGAAUACGUUCCCGGGCCUUGUACACAC